GUGAUCAGUUGAAGAUUUUUCACGCCCAAAAAAUAUAGUGCUUUCAUUAAUUCUACUCCCUGUUAGAAAGGUGGAGUUAAAUGAACUGUUUAGUGAUUUAACGGUACAUUGUCACAGAGGAGUAUUUAUGGGAAAAAGCCGAUCAAAACUCGAUUUUCGAAACUUAAGGGUCGUUUAUACUGGCCCGUAACUUAUGCCCUUGACUUAUGCCCUUAACUUAUUCCUUUAACUUAAGUUGUCCGGUUUAUACUGGAUAACUUGUUCCCUUAACUUUAGUUGUCUUCAGAUGUCACAGAAAACUAAUAUGGAUGUUUACGCAAUCAUAGAAUCGGAGACAGGUUUAUUUUUCUAACCUUAUUCUUCUUUCAACCUUAAACUGAAAUCGAAGAAUUUUCCAACUAGAAUUCUAAACAUGGUUGUCUCUGUUUUUAUGAUUAUGAGACAUAUGUUCAAUAUGUUGUACACAGAUGGUAUGAACCCAUUAGCAAUAGUAUUGGUAGUUAAUGAGAAUGCUAUUCCUGCAGCAGCAGCAAUUCUCAUAUUGACUGCAGCUAGCAUCGAAGUAAAUCAAACUCAAAAGCGUCGAAAAAAGCGUCGUUGGAGCGUGAGGCCUUUGUUUCGUCAGAGGCAAAUUGGGGAACAUUUCACUAAUUUAUUCGGCAAUUUGAAAACCAUGGACCCUGAGCAAUUUUUCUCAUACUUAAGAAUGGACAGAAUUUGUUUUUAUAAACUGUUGCAGUUGGUAGGACACAGAUUAAUUAAGCGUGCUACCAGAAAGACUUUGAGCCCUGAGCAACGUUUAGUAAUCACAUUAUGGUAAGUCAGCUGAUGCGCAAUGCCCAUGGUAUAGCUAUAUUAUAUGUCUUGUUUUCCAGUUUCUUGGCCCAUGGGUGUAGCAUGCAAUCUGUGUCCUGGUCGUUCCUUGUUGGCAAGGCCACAGUGUCUGUAGUGGUGAGAGAAACAGGUCAAGCUAUUUGGGAUGUUCUCAGUCCAAUAUAUUUGAAGCGCCCGACUAUGCAAGAUUGGAAGACUAUUGCAAAUGAAUUCGAGGAGAAGUGGAAUCUACCACACUGUUGUGGUGCUAUUGAUGGAAAACAUAUUGUGAUGCAGGCACCAAAAAAUUCUAGAUCUAAAUUUUUU